UAACGCGUGAGGAACCUGCCUCAAAGAGGGGGACAACAGUUGGAAACGACUGCUAAUACCGCAUAAGCCCACAGCUCGGCAUCGAGCAGAGGGAAAAGGAGUGAUCCGCUUGGAGAUGGCCUCGCGUCCGAUUAGCUAGUUGGUGAGGUAAUGGCCCACCAAGGCGACGAUCGGUAGCCGGACUGAGAGGUUGAACGGCCACAUUGGGACUGAGACACGGCCCAG
rnacentral:rRNA from 1 species